UGCCAGGCUGCGGAGUAAUGUCCAGGUUUGCUCCAGUUCAUCCCGUCCUCUCGUUGGACAGGGGAGAGAAAUGGCUGCAGAGGAGCCAGUUCAGGGGCCGUGACCUUCGAGGAGGUGGCUGUGUAUUUCACAGGGAAGAGGGGGCUCUGCUGAACCCCAUCAGAGAGCCCUCUACAGGGAUGUCAUGCAGGAGAACUAUGAGAAUGUGACCUCGCUGGCUCUUUCCUGGAGGGGAGGUGAAAGGGCUUGAGGGUGUCCCAGAGGGAAGAAUUCUCAAGGCUCCUUCCUGGGUCCAAGGGUUUGGGGUUUCUGCAUUUGGGUGGUGCAGCAUUACCAAGCCAAGGUCAGAGAAAAGCUGUAACUUGGGCUUUAAUACAAGCCUAGAGUGGGACAAAUUAAUCUUUAGAAUCCUGGCGGGCCCCACUUUCUGCACUCGGAGUGACAGAGUGGGGAUUCGGCCCUGAGACAUACAAGAGUGAACAUAGGGGUACAGACUUGCACAGGGUCUGUCUGUGUGUUCCCAAGAUCUAUGUGGGUAUUUCAGUCCCUCACAAGCAAGGUGUCCGGCAUCUUCAAACACCCAGGGCACCGGUCCUGGGAAUUGGUGAUUUAUUAAGUGACACUGUAUGGAAUUGAGAGACACUUUUAUUAUUAUUAUUUUAUGAUUAUAAAUACCAAUAUGAUGAAAUUGCAAUAAAUGGUGCUGAUAUGCCAUGUAAGGUGUCAAUG